ACGCUGGCGGCGUGCCUAAUACAUGCAAGUCGAACGCUUCUUUUCCCACCGGAGCUUGCUCCACCGGGAAAAGAGGAGUGGCGAACGGGUGAGUAACACGUGGGUAACCUGCCCAUCAGAAGGGGAUAACACUUGGAAACAGGUGCUAAUACCGUAUAACAAUCGAAACCGCAUGGUUUCGUUUUGAAAGGCGCUUUACGGUGCCGCUGAUGGAUGGACCCGCGGUGCAUUAGCUAGUUGGUGAGGUAACGGCUCACCAAGGCCACGAUGCAUAGCCGACCUGAGAGGGUGAUCGGCCACAUUGGGACUGAGACACGGCCCAAACUCCUACGGGAGGCAGCAGUAGGGAAUCUUCGGCAAUGGACGAAAGUCUGACCGAGCAACGCCGCGUGAGUGAAGAAGGUUUUCGGAUCGUAAAACUCUGUUGUUAGAGAAGAACAAGGGUGAGAGUAACUGUUCACCCCUUGACGGUAUCUAACCAGAAAGCCACGGCUAACUACGUGCCAGCAGCCGCGGUAAUACGUAGGUGGCAAGCGUUGUCCGGAUUUAUUGGGCGUAAAGCGAGCGCAGGCGGUUUCUUAAGUCUGAUGUGAAAGCCCCCGGCUCAACCGGGGAGGGUCAUUGGAAACUGGGAGACUUGAGUGCAGAAGAGGAGAGUGGAAUUCCAUGUGUAGCGGUGAAAUGCGUAGAUAUAUGGAGGAACACCAGUGGCGAAGGCGGCUCUCUGGUCUGUAACUGACGCUGAGGCUCGAAAGCGUGGGGAGCAAACAGGAUUAGAUACCCUGGUAGUCCACGCCGUAAACGAUGAGUGCUAAGUGUUGGAGGGUUUCCGCCCUUCAGUGCUGCAGCUAACGCAUUAAGCACUCCGCCUGGGGAGUACGACCGCAAGGUUGAAACUCAAAGGAAUUGACGGGGGCCCGCACAAGCGGUGGAGCAUGUGGUUUAAUUCGAAGCAACGCGAAGAACCUUACCAGGUCUUGACAUCCUUUGACCACUCUAGAGAUAGAGCUUCCCCUUCGGGGGCAAAGUGACAGGUGGUGCAUGGUUGUCGUCAGCUCGUGUCGUGAGAUGUUGGGUUAAGUCCCGCAACGAGCGCAACCCUUAUUGUUAGUUGCCAUCAUUUAGUUGGGCACUCUAGCAAGACUGCCGGUGACAAACCGGAGGAAGGUGGGGAUGACGUCAAAUCAUCAUGCCCCUUAUGACCUGGGCUACACACGUGCUACAAUGGGAAGUACAACGAGUCGCGAAGUCGCGAGGCUAAGCUAAUCUCUUAAAGCUUCUCUCAGUUCGGAUUGUAGGCUGCAACUCGCCUACAUGAAGCCGGAAUCGCUAGUAAUCGCGGAUCAGCACGCCGCGGUGAAUACGUUCCCGGGCCUUGUACACACCGCCCGUCACACCACGAGAGUUUGUAACACCCGAAGUCGGUGAGGUAACCUUUUUGGAGCCA
rnacentral:rRNA from 1 species